rnacentral:misc_RNA from 1 species
AUAUAUAUCAGCCUCUCAUUCUUGAGUGGUUUGGAUGUGGGGGGUUUGCUGGCCUGUUCAGCUCCUCUGAAAUGCAUUAGCAGAAACAACCUGUUCAUUGGUGUGAUAACUAUCUACGCUAUUGAAUGUGAGGUGUGAUUCAGCUUUCUAACGGUCCUUGGACAAUUUAUCAUUA